rnacentral:rRNA from 1 species
UGGGGAAUUUUUCCGCAAUGGGCGAAAGCCUGACGGAGCAAUACCGCGUGAGGGAGGAAGGCUCUUGGGUUGUAAACCUCAAAACUUAGGGAAGAAAAAAAUGACGGUACCUAAUGUAAGCAUCGGCUAACUCCGUGCCAGCAGCCGCGGUAAUACGGAGGAUGCAAGCGUUAUCCGGAAUCAUUGGGCGUAAAGAGUCCGUAGGUGGCACUUCAAGUCUGCUUUCAAAGACCGAAGCUCAACUUCGGAAAGGGAGUGGAAACUGAAGAGCUAGAGUAUAGUAGGGGUAGAGGGAAUUCCUAGUGUAGCGGUGAAAUGCGUAGAGAUUAGGAAGAACACCAGUGGCGAAGGCGCUCUACUGGGCAUAUACUGACACUGAGGGACGAAAGCUAGGGGAGCGAAUGGGAUUAGAUACCCC